GACGGGGGAUGCAAGUGUUAUCCGGAAUCACUGGGCGUAAAGCGUCUGUAGGUGGUUUAUUAAGUCAACUGUUAAAUCUUGAGGCUCAACCUCAAAAUCGCAGUCGAAACUAUUAGGCUAGAGUAUAGUAGGGGUAAAGGGAAUUUCCAGUGGAGCGGUGAAAUGCGUAGAGAUUGGAAAGAACACCGAUGGCGAAGGCACUUUACUGGGCUAUUACUAACACUCAGAGACGAAAGCUAGGGUAGCAAAUGGG
rnacentral:rRNA from 1 species